GAGUCUUUUUUUCUAGGUUCUUUAUAAUACAAAUAUAUUUAAACACACAAAACAAUAAAGAGAUUCUAGGACGUUUACUCUGAAGAAAUUAGAGUGUUUAAGGCAGGCUUGUGCUUGAAUACACUAGCACGGAAUAAUAAAAUAAGACUUUGGUUUUAUUUUGUUGGUUUUAAAAACUAAAAGUAAUGAUUUAUAGGGAUAGUCGGGGGCGUUAGUAUUUAGUAGUCAGAGGUGAAAUUCUUGGAUUUACUAAAGACUAACUAGUGCGAAAGCAUUCGCCAAGGAUGUUUUCAUUGAUCAAGAACGAAAGUUAGGGGAUCGAAGACGAUCAGAGACCGUCGUAGUCUUAACCAUAAACUAUGCCGACUAGGGAUCGGUGGUGUCUUUAUGACGCAUCGGCACCUUAUGAGAAAUCAAAGUUUUUAGGUUCUGGGGGGAGUAUGGUCGCAAGGCUGAAACUUAAAGGAAUUGACGGAAGGGCACCCCCCGGAGUGGAGCCUGCGGCUUAAUUUGACUCAACACGGGGAAACUCACCAGGUCCAGACAUAGUAAGGAUUGACAGAUUGAUAGCUCUUUCAUGAUUCUAUGGGUGGUGGUGCAUGGCCGUUCUUAGUUGGUGGAGUGAUUUGUCUGGUUAAUUCCGAUAACGAACGAGACCUCAACCUCCUAAAUAGUUACGCUAACUUUUGGUGGCGGUAUAUAUAACUUCUUAGAGGGACGGACUA
rnacentral:rRNA from 1 species